rnacentral:rRNA from 1 species
AGAGUUUGAUCCUGGCUCAGGACGAACGCUGGCGGCGUGCUUAACACAUGCAAGUCGAGCGAUGAAGCCUCUUCGGAGGUGGAUUAGCGGCGGACGGGUGAGUAACACGUGGGCAACCUGCCUCAAAGUGGGGGAUAGCCUCCCGAAAGGGAGAUUAAUACCGCAUAAUAUUAGUUUUUCACAUGAAAGAUUAAUUAAAGGAGUAAUCCGCUUUGAGAUGGACCCGCGGCGCAUUAGCUAGUUGGUGAGGUAAAGGCUCACCAAGGCGACGAUGCGUAGCCGACCUGAGAGGGUGAUCGGCCACAUUGGAACUGAGACACGGUCCAGACUCCUACGGGAGGCAGCAGUGGGGAAUAUUGCACAAUGGGCGAAAGCCUGAUGCAGCAACGCCGCGUGAGUGAUGAAGGCCUUCGGGUUGUAAAGCUCUGUCUUUGGGGACGAUAAUGACGGUACUUGAGGAGGAAGCCCCGGCUAACUACGUGCCAGCAGCCGCGGUAAUACGUAGGGGGCUAGCGUUAUCCGGAUUUACUGGGCGUAAAGGGUGCGUAGGUGGUUUCUUAAGUCAGGAGUGAAAGGCUACGGCUCAACCGUAGUAAGCUCUUGAAACUGGGAAACUUGAGUGCAGGAGAGGAAAGUGGAAUUCCUAGUGUAGCGGUGAAAUGCGUAGAUAUUAGGAGGAACACCAGUAGCGAAGGCGGCUUUCUGGACUGUAACUGACACUGAGGCACGAAAGCGUGGGGAGCAAACAGGAUUAGAUACCCUGGUAGUCCACGCCGUAAACGAUGAGUACUAGGUGUCGG